rnacentral:lncRNA from 1 species
CUGAUCUGUCCACCUGGAACCAGCUGGGGCUAUAGCCACACCGGGCUGUGCUCCAGCUUCUGAGGCCUCUGCUGGGGAGUCCCCGAGAGCCCUCUGAGCUCUGCCUUUCGCACGGUCUCUCUAGCAGGUGGAGAGGGGAUGCUGGUGGCUGAGAACCACUGCGGGGCGGGGUGGACAGUGUGAGCCUGGGCUCUCAACACCAGCCAUGCAUUUCGGCAUCCCUAAUUCUUUGUUUUGCCUUUAAUCUUUAUUAAAUUACUGUCGAAACUAACUCACUCUUCAUAAUUUUCACAAAGUAGUCUAGGUGAAAUAAAACAGACUUUGGAGCCAGAAGAAUCGAAAUAAAAUUCUCAUUUCCCAAUUACUUGCUGUGCUACCUGGUACAAAUGACUUGGCCUGUCUGAGCCUGUCUGCAUUUUUAAAAGGAAGUAACGACACCUGCCUCAUGAUACAGCUGAAAGGACUAAGUUAGAUGAAAUGUCUCUGGUCCUGAGCAGGGCACCAGUGGUGCCCACGGUGCCGGUUACUGGGGUGAGUGUCACUUGUGUUGAACUGAGCAGGGGGCCAAGCGCCAGUCCUGGGCUGUAUCUGUAUCUCCACGGAAGAUCAAAACGUGGGGGCCGAGGAGUCCUCUAUGGAUUGUUUCUUCUGAACAGAAACAGUGUGUGAAGUCAAGCGGGGGAGCCCUCCCUUUCCAGAAGCGAGUCAUUGAAGAAAUGCCCCUGUGCGGACUCCCCACACGUUAGCACUGGCGGCCAGGCCGGCCUCCCAUGGAGAGCCCCUCUUCAGAGCCACCUUGCCCCCAUUUCCCCCUCAACUGCUCAGCUCACUGGGGAGGAAGGCAGCGAAGUUGUAAAAACUUACUUUUUGGAAAAAUAAGAAUUAUGGGGAAGGACAUUAAUUUAAAAGCUUUUAAGGAGCCAAUUCACCUGUGAAAGUGCUCCCCAGGUGAGGGCCUUCCUGUGUGGAGAACAGCCCGGUCUUUAAAAGCAUUUUAAUUAAUGUUGCUGAGAAACACGCUGAUGGUAUUUAAGUCUGAAGAGCAAAGGUACCAGCCAAGAGUUUUAUGACGUGGUGCUAGUUCUCUUAAAGGCUGUUGAAAUAAUGUUCCCGUGCACUCAGCCUCCCCACUUAGUGCGGGUGGCGGCCAAGAGGAAGUGCUGGAAUCCUCGGUGGCCUAACCCCGGCCCUCAGGACAGAACAGAAGGCAGGCGGCCCCGGCCAGGACAUGCCCAGUGGAAUUUCAGAGGCACUUUCGGGAACACAGCGCCUUCGCACCUUCUGCUCGGUACACACCUCGAGGGGUGGCAGCCAGCUCUUGGCGGCCCACCCAGCACCCUGAAGCCUGAACUGCCUGGACUGUCGCUGAGCAAAUGCCAGGGCCCGAAGAGGACCUGGAAGAGGGCGGGUGAGGGGCUGCAGGCGUGUGGGGCCUGGAUGAUCCCAUCUUGACGACGAGCUGGGAACCGCAGACCGGUGUCAUCCUGGCUGGAGAUGGAGGUCUCUACAUGGCUCCCUGUGUGGCCAGACCACUGUGGCUGGACCAGAGUUUCCCGAUAGCCUCUGGGAAUGGCAGGGACAGUGGGGGAGGAGGUCCCAGGGGAUUUUAUUAACAGAAGGGGGGAGAGAGGGUAGAGAAAGGUAAUGGGAACAAGUAGCUGAAAAUAUGCCCUGGAGAGCAGGGGAGGAGGCUGAGCAGGCAACUUCAAAAGGGAUGGAAGAAAAUGGGGGCUGCGGAGAGUUGAAGAGUGACCCCAAAAGAUAUGUCCAUCCAGAACCUCAGAAUGUGACCUUGUUUGGAAUAAGGGCUUUUGAGGAUAUAAUUCAGCAGCCCGGGGGCACAGGCACGCAGAAGAGACUUUCCCACAGCGGUUCCCAGAGCCCUGGAUGAGGCGUCCUCCAAAGGAUUAUGUCACCAAGUUUCUGCAGGUGAUGAGUUUGGGAGCUGUUGGGUCAACUGAAGGUCAUAUAUGUGGGCACGGCCUGACGACUGGAUUGUCCAACAAAACACAGAAAGUGUAGACAAGAGAACAGCAGAAAGUGACGCCUGCAGCCACAGAGAUGUGCUCCCAGUCUCCCUCUUUUCUGACUGCUGGGGGUGCACACCACAGCGAGGCCCAAGGGCUGUGAUGGAGGCCUAGGAUGGAAGGUGGCUGGUCCCUGAAUUACUUCUAGGAGAGGCACCAUCUGCUGAGCAGGAACCCCUGCCUGGGACAGUUGCAAGAACAAGAAAUCAGCUCCUUUUGUGCCAGAACCAGUAUGCAUGUUGAGGUCCAAUCCUACAGUUAGUGAUGUGGUAACAGAAAUGAGCUUUGUGCUUCCAUGCCCUGGGCAACUGCAGGCAGCUGAGGCCCCCAUCUGCAGGUGGUCUCUGCAGGCAGAGGGUUUCUGGUGAAGGGCCCUAUGGGGUUUCUGAUGAGGGCCCCACAGAAACCAGAAUCUCUUCCCUGCUGCUUAUUUCAAAUUCUGCUCGGUUGUCCCUUCCAGGCCAGGCGGGUAAUCUUGCUUGUGGCCACACUCCUCUUCCUGGGACCUGAGCCUGCCCUCCUGCUCCUGAGUAGUUCAUUGUGAUGCUGUCUGCUGUGGCUGUGGAGUGCUACGCGCUGGCCAGCCUGAGGGCGACCUGUACCGCCUUGGCCAAACCCUUUACCCCACUGAGAGAUACCUCCCUCAUCUGCAGCGAGAGUCCCUACCUUGUAGGGCAGUGUGAAGGAUGUCCUGAGAUGGUCAGGACUUAGCACCCUGUAAGCACAAGAGCUGUUCUUGGUGGCGUUAUGAUCACACCCACAGAUAGGGCCUCAGGCAGGCCUCAGUGUCCUCCUGGCUGGCCACGUGCUACGGAUGUCCCCAUGCACUUGAUGUGUCAGCAGCAGAAGGACCUUCAGGAGGAGGCAACGAUGGGAUGAGACGAGGCUCAAAGGAGGAUGUUGCCGCGCAGAGACGUUUCGGGAAUAUGAGGCAGGUCACCACCUAUGAUUCUUGUGGUAGUGGAGGAAUGGUGGCGGCUGUCAUUGUGACACCCACUUUAGAGACAGGAAACUGAGCUUCAGAGAGGGGGAGUCCAGGCCCCACAGCACACAGCCAGGAAAGGGCCGGGCAGAAGGGGCUUUGGGUUUUAACCUAACUCACCCCGACUGCCUGCUUCUUCACCCAGCCAUCAUGGAACGUCUCUGUGCCUCUUCCCUGCUCUCGUGGAGGCCUGGGUCAGGCAGCUGCCCAGAGGCAGACGUGCACUGUGACCCUAGAAGACUGUUCCAGACAGGCCAGCCCAGGCAGAGACAAAACAGGGACCUGCUCCUCAUUGGUGUCACGACCAAAUGCAGGGGAUUUGCUAAGGGAGGCGCAGCCAUGAAUUGGGAGCCAGCUUCGUGCUCUGCCACUCCUUCUUGCUAAUCCCUCGAAAAUCCAAUCAGAGCUGUUUCCCUCCAUGAAACCAACUGGACACAGCACAUACUGGCCGGACCUCUGCCAGCAUGGAGUGGAUCUUUUUUCUGUUUAAAGAACCAGGUUUCAAAUGUUCUUAAUAAAACGUUUAUAUAUAUCAUGCAGGGUGCAAAUAAAUAUUUUAAUAUAAUUGGAAGAAUGUAGAGAAUUGUAAAAAGUUAUGGAAGUUUUACUUCUGAUUGGCCAAGACUCAAUAAACUCUGGUUUGAUGUACUCUAAUUUAUAGGCGUGCAAAGCCAACUCUUUGGCAUCAGAGAGGCCGUUAACGUUGUAAUGAUGUUUAAACGCUGACAAAUGAGCUGCUUGGGCGGCACCUUCAGCCCUGAGAAUGGAACUGUUGGAGCUGGAGGACUUGCCUGUCCCCAGCUUUCUCCCUUCCUCCCGUGCUGGUGGAGCAGGUUAAGGGCAGGAGGACUGUUCAUUGGGGCGACUGCUCCCCAUCGGUUGAGGGGAGGGCACAAAGGGGACCCAUGGCUUCUUUUUCACUGUUGUCCCUAAUUAUGGUCUUUCUCAUUAAAAUAACAAGG